UGGGGAAUCUUGCGCAAUGGGCGAAAGCCUGACGCAGCAACGCCGCGUGGGGGAUGCAGGCUCUCGGGUUGUAAACCCCUUUCAGGAGGGACGAAACUGACGGUACCUCCAGAAGAAGCCCCGGCCAACUACGUGCCAGCAGCCGCGGUAACACGUAGGGGGCAAGCGUUGUCCGGAUUUAUUGGGCGUAAAGAGCUCGUAGGCGGCUUGACCAGUCGGAUGUGAAAUUUCGAGGCUCAACCUCGAAAAGCCAUUCGAUACUGUCAUGGCUAGAGUCCGGUAGAGGAGCGUGGAAUUCCUGGUGUAGCGGUGAAAUGCGCAGAUAUCAGGAGGAACACCAGCGGCGAAGGCGGCGCUCUGGGCCGGUACUGACGCUAAGGAGCGAAAGCGUGGGGAGCAAACAGGAUUAGAUACCCCCGUAGUCC
rnacentral:rRNA from 1 species